AUGAAAGCUUCUAGGUAGGAGCUUACAGGACUCCUGAAGGCUGCAAAGAGAUGAAGAAUAGAUCCAGGCGGACCCAAGCAAUGAGGAGCAUGUACCGUCAUCAGAUAUUCCUUUUCCUACAAAUCAUACUGGUUACUGGAAAUAUACUAAAUGGCAGGACUGCUACCCUCAGAGACUUUGUCUUGUCAGCACUGCUGCCCAAUUACCUGCUUUAAGACUCUACAUGGAUCAAUCUGCAGUUUAGUUUUGAACAGAAAGGAUCCAGAAAUAUACUAGCCAAAGAGCAGACCUGAGCUGUACGGUCCCAGCCAUCCGAACAGUGCACCAG